rnacentral:rRNA from 1 species
CCUACGGGUGGCAGCAGUAGGGAAUUUUGCGCAAUGGGGGAAACCCUGACGCAGCAACGCCAUGUGUGGGAUGAAGCAUUUCGGUGUGUAAACCACUGUCGGCAGGGAAUAAAGCCCGCGUUUAUCGCGGGGGUGAAUGUACCUGCAAAGGAAGCCCCGGCUAACUUCGUGCCAGCAGCCGCGGUAAUACGAGGGGGGCAAGUGUUGUUCGGAAUUACUGGGCGUAAAGGGAGCGUAGGCGGGCUCUUAAGUUGGAUGUUUAAAACCGGGGCCCAACCCCGGCGUGGCAUCCAAAACUGGGAGUCUUGAAUGGGACAGAGGCCGGUGGAAUUGGAGGUGUAGCGGUGGAAUGCGUAGAGAUCUCCAAGAACAUCUGUUGCGAAGGCGGCCGGCUGGGUCCACAUUGACGCUGAGGCUCGAAAGCAUGGGGAGCAAACAGGAUUAGAUACCCUAGUAGUC